UACGGAGGGUGCAAGCGUUACUCGGAAUCACUGGGCGUAAAGAGCGCGUAGGCGGGAUAGCAAGUCAGAUGUGAAAUCCUAUGGCUUAACCAUAGAACUGCAUUUGAAACUGUUAUUCUAGAGUAUGGGAGAGGUAGGUGGAAUUCUUGGUGUAGGGGUAAAAUCCGUAGAGAUCAAGAGGAAUACUCAUUGCGAAGGCGACCUGCUAGAACAUAACUGACGCUGAUGCGCGAAAGCGUGGGG
rnacentral:rRNA from 1 species